rnacentral:rRNA from 1 species
UACGGAGGGUGCAAGCGUUGUUCGGAAUCAUUGGGCGUAAAGCGCGUGUAGGCGGCUUGGCAAGUCGGUUGUGAAAGCCCGGGGCCCAACCCCUGAACUGCAUCUGAAACUGCCUGGCUAGAGUCCCGGAGAGGAAGGCAGAAUUCCCGGUGUAGGGGUGAAAUCCGUAGAUAUCGGGAGGAAUACCAGCGGCGAAGGCGGCCUUCUGGACGGUGACUGACGCUGAGACGCGAAAGCGUGGGGAGCAAACAGG